CAAUCGCGCGCGAUCCCGGUGGGAUCCCGGUGACGCGGCGCGGAGCGGUGGCCAACCGCUACGGGAAGGCUCGGAGCGGAGCAGCUCACCUUCUCGGUGGGAUCCCGGGUUCUCAAUGGAGCGGGUCUGUGCGCGGGUCGCGUAUAUCCAUCCCGGGAUUGGACCGGGUUUUAAAAAACAUGGGUUUUUGGGAAUUUUAUUGAUUUUAGUAAGGGUAUAUUUGGUAUUUUACAUCUUGUUCACAACUUCACAAAAGAAACCCUAGCCGCCGCAUCAAUUCACAUCUAUUAUUUUCUUCACAUCAAAAUAACGAUCCAAAAUCAAAUUCAUCGUAUUAUCAUCUCCAAAAUCAAAGCUUCAUCGUAUUAUCAUCUCCACCUCCUAACUUCUUCAAAGCUUCAUCAUCUCUCCAAACUUCACCAAGUUUAGAAUUUGUCAACUAUGGCAUCAUCUUCAUCUUCAGCAAUACCAUCAAUCUCAGAAACUGUGCAGUCUAGUUAUGUGAGGCAUACAACAAGUGGAGGAUGAAGGUGUUGAAGAAAUUGGAGAUGAUGUUGAAGAUAAUGUUGUGGAGGCUGAUGAGGAUUAUGAAGAAGACAAUGAUUUUGAUGAUGAUUAUUAGACUUGAUUAUUUAUUUUAGUUACUUUAUUAAUCUAAGUGACUUUUGCUUAUUUAUUUUGCUUGACUUUUGUUGGUAAUUUUUGUUACUUUAUGAUGAUGAAGGUGUUGAAGACUUGAGAUUUGUGGUUUGAAUUUAUGAUUUAUGAAUGUUUUAUGGAUUUUGAGA